CUUGGUCCCAUUUAGAGGAAGUAAAAGUCGUAACAAGGUCUCCGUUGGUGAACCAGCGGAGGGAUCAUUACCGAGUCUCGAACUCACCAAACCCCUGUGAACAUACCAGUGUUGCUUCGGCGGUCGACCCCUCCGCCCUCCCCUCACCGGGUGGGCGGCGUGGUUCCGCCAGAGGACCAUAUCAAAACUCCCGUUUUUUUCAGAAAGGAUUCCGCUCUGAGUAAACCAAAGAAAACCAUUAAAACUUUCAACAACGGAUCUCUUGGCUCUGGCAUCGAUGAAGAACGCAGCGAAAUGCGAUAAGUAAUGCGAAUUGCAGAUUUCAGUGAAUCAUCGAAUCUUUGAACGCACAUUGCGCCCGCCAGUAUUCUGGCGGGCAUGCCUGUUCGAGCGUCAUUUCAACCCUCAAGCCCCCGGGCUUGGCGUUGGGGAUCGGCAGCCAACCGGCGCCCUCGCGGGCGUCCGGGGCCGUCCCCCAAAUCCAUCGGCGGUCACGCCGCGGCGUCCCCUGCGUAGUACUGCACCUCGCACCGGACCGCGGCCUGGCCACGCCGUAAAACCCCCGACUUUUAUCGUGGUUGACCUCGAAUCAGGUAGGACUACCCGCUGAACUUAAGCAUAUCAAAGGGCCGGAGGAAA
rnacentral:rRNA from 1 species